GGCGCAGGCGGGAGAACAAGUUGGAAGUGAAAUCCAUGGGCUCAACCCAUGAACUGCUUUCAAAACUGUUUUUCUUGAGUAGUGCAGAGGUAGGCGGAAUUCCCGGUGUAGCGGUGGAAUGCGUAGAUAUCGGGAGGAACACCAGUGGCGAAGGCGGCCUACUGGGCACCAACUGACGCUGAGGCUCGAAAGUGUGGGUAGCAAACA
rnacentral:rRNA from 1 species